rnacentral:rRNA from 1 species
AACUUCUGUCGUAAGGGACGAUAAUGACGGUACCUUACAAGAAAGCCACGGCUAACUACGUGCCAGCAGCCGCGGUAAUACGUAGGGUGCGAGCGUUGUCCGGAAUUAUUGGGCGUAAAGAGCUUGUAGGCGGUUUGUCGCGUCUGCUGUGAAAGCCCGGGGCUUAACCCUGGGUCUGCAGUGGGUACGGGCAGGCUAGAGUGUGGUAGGGGAGACUGGAAUUCCUGGUGUAGCGGUGGAAUGCGCGAUAUCAGGAGGAACACCGAUGGCGAAGGCAGGUCUCUGGGCCACUACUGACGCUGAGAAGCGAAAGCGUGGGGAGCGAACAGGAUUAGAUACCCUGGUAGUCCACGCCGUAAACGUUGGGCGCUAGGUGUGGGUCCCAUUCCACGGGGUCCGUGCCGCAGCUAACGCAUUAAGCGCCCCGCCUGGGUCGACGCGGCC